UUGGCUGUGGGAGCCGCUGAGGAUCUGGACUGGUCUGGCUGCAAGCCGUUACAAUUUACAUGAACAUUUCUUGUCCUCCACCCUCUUGGACCCUCACCACUGCUCUGAAUACCAAAAGAUCUGAUGUAGCCGAACAUGGCGAUCUCGGCAUUUGGGAAGCUAAGGCAACAGCGGGAUGUUGAGUCAAGAUCUCCCUGAGCUAUAUAAGACCUGAGCACAGAGGGUGACAGAAGAUUCAAAGUGAACUCCAGCUUGGAGAGAUGACCUGUAGCAAAUCAGGCAGAGAAGCAGGAGUUUCGAGAGAACCUGGCAGAGAAGCAGGAGUUUCGAGAGCUAAGGGGUGACAACCAACCAGGCAAAGACGGGAGUUUCUAGCCAGGCUCCGCCCUGCUUGCCAAGGUUCUGAAGUCAUGUCCAAAACUUCUGAGGGAUCCGUUCCUGUUGCACAGUGUGGCCCAGACUCUAGUUCUCCUCCAGCUCCAUCUCAAGGCCAGUUCUACCAACAAAGCCAUCGUCUUAAAUAUGCCUCAAGGUUUCCAUCUACAACAUGGGAACAUCACUCAUCCCUUUUAGCACUAAACAGACUACAGAGAAAAAACCAAGCUUGAGAGUGUGUGGGGCUCUCUCCUUCUCUCCGGUGGAGUGAAGAUGGAAGAGUACGGGUGGGUAGCUGGGAAACAUGCGGGAGAAGAAAGUGGGUCGGAACGGGGAUGCUGGGAGGGGCGGGCUUAGGAGUGAGCCGGUUCCUCCCACUCCUUGUUCCACCUGGAGCCCUGGUGGAGGGUAAUCUCUCCACUGAUUGCAGGCAGCCUUGCUCAAACACACUCAGCCAUUCUUGCUGAUUAAACCUGCCGUUCCCACCGCUGUGUGGG